rnacentral:rRNA from 1 species
AUUGAACGCUGGCGGCAGGCCUAACACAUGCAAGUCGAGCGGAGAGGCGGCCGGGUGAUUAAUGCCUAGGAAUCUGCCUGAUAGUUGGGGAUCACGUCCGGCACCGGGCGCUAAUACCGCAUACUAUCAGAUGAGCCUAGGUCGGGUUAGCAAGUUGGUGGGGGAAAGGCCGACCAAGGCGACGAUCCGUAACUGGUCUGGGUGGAUGAUCAGUCACACUGGAACGGAUAAACGGUCCAGACUCAUACGGGAGGCAGCAGUGGGGAAUAUUGGACAAGGGGCGAAAGCCUGAUCCAGACAUGCCGCGUGUGUGAAGAAGGUCUUCGGAUUGUAAAGCACUGGAAGUUGGGAGGCGGUACCAACAGAAUAAGCACCGGCUAACUUCGUGCCAGCAGCCGCGGUAAUUC